AUUCUCCUCCCCCUUUUAGGAUCUAAAGCUCCACAAUGUUUGACGACUAAGGACACUUUGCAAUAACUUUACAUGUGACAGUAGCCAUUGACAUUAAAUUAAUCACAGUUCCAGCUAAAAAUCUUUACCGUUCUACUGAAGAAAAAAAGUCAACUUGGAUGGCCUGAUGGCUGAAAACAUUCACCUGAGAAGUGUGUCCUGAAGGCCCUUAUCUUUUUCCUGAGAGAAAGUCCUGAAGACCUCAUCAAGGAGUACUUUCUGAGUUGAACGAUAACCCGACAGAUGAUUGAGGAGCAGCUCACCAUGGCGAUGUUCAUUAUUUGGAAGGAGGGGGAGAACUUCAUGAACCAUCUGCUGACAUUGAGGGAGUUAAAGUUUUGAAUCAACUUACUUAAGUUACAUCAGCUUGUGCCCUGCUUCUAGGCCUACAGUUGGAAGCAGCUAUUCUCCUCUUGCCUGCACUGUUCAAGGUGGACCUGGGGUUGCUGUUUGACAUUGAGGGCCAUGCUCAGACCAGCCCUCCUUUCAUCCCAACACCUAAGAUAGUGCCUAAAGCCUGCGGGAAGAUCAUCUCAUGCAGUAUGACCACAUUUUGUUCACGUUGGAUGGCCAGUUAAUCACAGAUUAGAGUGAGGACAUCUUGAUGGCACUGGGCCUCCUCCUAUGUGUAUAUUUUGCGUUUGGAAUCGAAUCCAAUCCAGUACCCUAAAGGACUGAAAAAGACACUGACCUUUUUGAAGUGUGUUGUUUUGAAAUUGAAGGAUGCAGUCGGACUUCCUGUCACUGUAAAAUGAGUGUACAAAUCUGAGUAGACUUUUGGAGUCAAUAUUCUCUCUUGCUCCCUUUCUUAUGGUUUAAGUUCCAGUUUCUAUAUUGUUUUUGAAAUCCUGAAGGACUUACAAAAAUGUUAGUGCGCUGAAAGAAACUGCAGGACUUCAGAGCAUAACUCAGUAUGUAAAAA